AAUAGAUCUAACAGGAACUUAUCAUAAUGCAAAUUGUUUGGUUAUAGCUGCCUCUGAAUCGAAUGCAAGAGAGCGAAAGCAAAUAGAGCACAGUAAGGGAGAAAGAAGGAGGUUAGAUUGAGAAAGAAAGGAGGAGGAAUGAGUCAAUGGCAUAUGCUACUCUGUUGUACGGUGAGGAAUUUUUUCUUGGGAAAUUGAUUUGCAACAGUGGAUCCAAGAAGGACAUGUUUAUUGUGGUCUCGGAUGGAGUCUCUGAUUGCCUGCAACCUCCCCCAGGGAUUAAUUAAUGUGAAUUACGAAUCAGAAGUGGAACACAAAUUUCUUUCUAUAUUUCGGAAGGGAUGGAGAGGUCCUUAUGUUGCUGUUUCUCUGGAUAGGGUUGUGGAUGUUGAUAGAAAUCUAGGAGAUGAAAAGUUGGUUACUGAUGGAUUUCAAGAACCCAUAGACAUGUUAGAAUCACUGACUUUAGAUUUUGAGGCCAGUGGGUUUGAGCAAUAGAACAUCUGAGGUGGUGAUUGUCUCUCAUGGAGUCUUUGAUUAUGCCAACAAUGUCCUCCAGGUAACACUAUCCUUUAUAAUUUCCUUUUGUUGCCAUUUGCAUUCAUGUUGUUAUUAGAGGAAUGAAAAAAUUGCUGCCUAGGAUGGUGGAUAUUGAUUCUAUAUAAUGAAAUUGACAUUAAAUUUCUACAUUUUAUGUUUCAUUUGAUAUGAUUGA